rnacentral:rRNA from 1 species
CGGGGUGAGUAAUGUCUGGGAAACUGCCUGAUGGAGGGGGGUAACUACUGGAAACAGUAGCUAAUACCGCAUAACGUCGCAAGACCAAAGAGGGGGACCUUCGGGCCUCUUGCCAUCGGAUGUGCCCAGAUGGGAUUAGCUAGUAGGUGGGGUAACGGCUCACCUAGGCGACGAUCCCUAGCUGGUCUGAGAGGAUGACCAGCCACACUGGAACUGAGACACGGUCCAG